rnacentral:rRNA from 1 species
GCAGUCGUAACAAGGUAACCGUAAGGACUCCUUCGGGAGGAAACCGGUGGAACAAGCGGCGGACGGGUGAGUAACACGUGGGCAACCUGCCGGACUGAUGGGAAUAACCCCGGGAAACCGGGGCUAAUGCCCAAUACGCCCUGAUCUCGCCUGAGGUCAGCGGUAAAGCAGGGAUCUUCGGAUCCUUGCACAGUCCGAUGGGCCCGCGGCGCAUUAGCUAGUUGGAGAGGUAAGGGCUCCCCAAGGCGACGAUGCGUAGCCGACCUGAGAGGGUGAUCGGCCACACUGGGACUGAGACACGGCCCAGACUCCUACGGGAGGCAGCAGUAGGGAAUCAUCCGCAAUGGGCGAAAGCCUGACGGUGCAACGCCGCGUGAGUGAUGAAGGUUUUCGGAUCGUAAAGCUCUGUUGACAGGGAAGAACCCACGCCAGUCGAACAGGCUGGCGUGCUGACGGUACCUGUCCAGAAAGCCCCGGCUAACUACGUGCCAGCAGCCGCGGUAAUACGUAGGGGGCAAGCGUUGUCCGGAAUUAUUGGGCGUAAAGGGCACGCAGGCGGUUUCGUCAGUCCGAUGUGACAGGCCACGGCUCAACCGUGGAAGGCCAUUGGAAACUGCGAGACUUGAGGACAGAAGAGGAGAGUGGAAUUCCACGUGUAGCGGUGAAAUGCGUAGAUAUGUGGAGGAACACCAGUGGCGAAGGCGACUCUCUGGUCUGUACCUGACGCUGAGGUGCGAAAGCAUGGGGAGCAAACAGGAUUAGAUACCCUGGUAGUCCAUGCCGUAAACGCUGAGUGCUAGGUGUUAGGGGUUUCGAUACCCGUAGUGCCGAAGCUAACGCAUUAAGCACUCCGCCUGGGGAGUACGACCGCAAGGUUGAAACUCAAAGGAAUUGACGGGGGCCUGCACAAGCGGUGGAGCAUGUGGUUUAAUUCGACGCAACGCGAAGAACCUUACCAGAUCGUUGAGUGCUAGGUGUUAGGGGUUUCGAUACCCGUAGUUCCGAAGCUAACGCAUUAAGCACUCCGCCUGGGGAGUACGACCGCAAGGUUGAAACUCAAAAGGAAUUGACGGGGGCCUGCACAAGCGGUGGAGCAUGUGGUUUAAUUCGACGCAACGCGAAGAACCUUACCAGAUCUUGACAUCUUACGCUACGCCUCGAGAGAGGCGGUUCCCCUUCGGGGGACGAAAUGACAGGUGGUGCAUGGUUGUCGUCAGCUCGUGUCGUGAGAUGUUGGGUUAAGUCCCGCAACGAGCGCAACCCCUAAUCUUAGUUGCCAGCAUUCAGUUGGGCACUCUAAGGUGACUGCCGGUGACAAACCGGAGGAAGGUGGGGAUGACGUCAAAUCAUCAUGCCCCUUAUGAUGUGGGCUACACACGUGCUACAAUGGAUGGUACAACGGGACGCGAACCCGCGAGGGGGAGCCAAUCCAGAAAAGCCAU